rnacentral:miRNA from 2 species
UCCCUUACAAUCUACUCUUUC